UGUGCUAGGCGGGGAGCCAGCGGUGCCCUGUACCUACAAUCCGCUACAGUAGGGCUGAAUGCCGUCCUCGGUGCGGCCUGUGGAAGGUCUGUUACCGUAUAAGUGGCGUUGAUACCAAGGUCUUGUGCAACUUCGUACCGUGAACCGUGUCAGGACGGGGACGUAGCAGCACUAAGCGGACCACGACGUGUGCCACAAGGUAGCUUUGGAGGAGUCGGCUGUCGGG
rnacentral:SRP_RNA from 1 species